GACGAACGCUGGCGGCGUGCUUAACACAUGCAAGUCGAACGGAAAGGCCCUGCUUUUGUGGGGUGCUCGAGUGGCGAACGGGUGAGUAACACGUGAGUAACCUGCCCUUGACUUUGGGAUAACUUCAGGAAACUGGGGCUAAUACCGGAUAGGAGCUCCUGCUGCAUGGUGGGGGUUGGAGAGUUUCGGCGGUUGGGGAUGGACUCGCGGCUUAUCAGCUUGUUGGUGGGGUAGUGGCUUACCAAGGCUUUGACGGGUAGCCGGCCUGAGAGGGUGACCGGCCACAUUGGGACUGAGGUACGGCCCAGACGCCUACGGGAGGCAGCAGUGGGGAAUAUUGCACAAUGGGCGGAAGCCUGAUGCAGCAACGCCGCGUGCGGGAUGACGGCCUUCGGGUUGUAAACCGCUUUCGCCUGUGACGAAGCGUGAGUGACGGUAAUGGGUAAAGAAACACCGGCUAACUACGUG
rnacentral:rRNA from 1 species